rnacentral:tRNA from 1 species
GGGGGGGGGGGCGAUCACCGUACUUGUAAUACGGGGGUUGCGGGUUCAAGUCCCGCUGCCGGCCCA